UUUUGUGCUUGUUUGAUUGGUGGAAUUGAAUCUAACGUCACGACUGCUUGCGUGGGAUUGGCGGAACAGAGUCACGUGACAGUGGAUGAAGCCGGAAGUAGUCUCGCUGACUGAGGACUGGUCUCCACACUACGCCUCACCGCCCGACUGUCCUGCGUCACUCAGGCAAAGGUGGAAGCCAAAUGUCCGUGGUGGUCACGAGUCGUACGCACCUGCACGAAAAGAGCAACGAUGAGGACUCCAUUCUUCUUGCCCAGAGCGUCCUCCAGGGAGUUGAACAGGGUGCUGUUCCAGUGGACCAGAUGGAGCUACAUGAGAGCAAUAAGAAGGACAAGAUGGAGCACUACAACUAAAACUACAACUUUAACUACAACUACCACUGCAACUGCAACUACAACUACAACUACGACUUUAACUAUAACUACAACUGCAACGGCAACUACAGUCCUUCUUCCUGUUCAGGGGAAAUACUAAGUUGUCACGUGACUAUCAUGCAAAUAGUCAACACAUUGUCAUUAAAUCCACUCAUUUGGACUCAGAAAACACUCAGCUCUCUGACAACCACAGUCAUGACAACAUUGUAGUGUAGUAGACCUAAGUAUUCAUUAAGUACCACCAUCAUCACAACAUUGUAGUGUAGUACACCUAAGUAUUCAUUAAGUACCACCAUCAUGACAACAUUGUAGUGUAGUACACCUAAGUAUUCAUUAAGUACCACCAUCAUGACAACAUUAAAGUACAGUAGUGUAGUAGACCUAAGUAUUCAUGACAAACAAGGUGGGUUUUAUUGAACAAGUGUAUUUCAUAUUUGUGGCCACUGUAACAUUACACACAGUUUGAACAGUAACACUGUGUUUGACUUUUGGAAAAUAUAACACUGUACUUUUGGCAGGCCUCUAGGGGGCACCCUUUUGUGAAGAAACACUUCACUAAUGGAUUAUAUUUGGGGUAUUUUAUGUCAAAUGUACUGUGUUUAUUUUUUCAGCCAUUUUUUGCAACAAAAAAAGUGUGGGAUCAAUAAAAUUUGCCUGAAAGUA